GCCUAGCUCAAUCGGAUAGAGCGUCAGACUUUUAGGUUCCGAUAUAUUUCUUGAACUAAUCUGAAGGCUGCGAGUUAGACCCUCGCGGUGGGCU